rnacentral:rRNA from 1 species
GACGAACGCUGGCGGCGUGCUUAACACAUGCAAGUCGAACGGAAAGGCCCUGCUUUUGUGGGGUGCUCGAGGGGCGAACGGGUGAGUAACACGUGAGUAACCUGCCCUUGACUUUGGGAUAACUUCAGGAAACUGGGGCUAAUACCGGAUAGGAGCUCCUGCUGCAUGGUGGGGGUUGGAAAUUUUCGGCGGUUGGGGAUGGACUCGCGGCUUAUCAGCUUGUUGGUGGGGUAGUGGCUUACCAAGGCUUUGACGGGUAGCCGGCCUGAGAGGGUGACCGGCCACCUUGGGACUGAGAUACGGCCCAGACUCCUACGGGAGGCAGCAGUGGGGAAUAUUGCACAAUGGGCGGAAGCCUGAUGCAGCAACGCCGCGUGCGGGAUGACGGCCUUCGGGUUGUAAACCGCUUUCGCCUGUGACGAAGCGUGAGUGACGGUAAUGGGUAAAGAAGCACCGGCUAACUACGUG